GACGAACGCUGGCGGCGUGCUUAACACAUGCAAGUCGAACGGAAAGGCCUCUUUCGGGGGGUACUCGAGUGGCGAACGGGUGAGUAACACGUGAGUAACCUGCCCUUGACUUUGGGAUAACUUCAGGAAACUGGGGCUAAUACCGGAUAGGAGCUCCUGCUGCAUGGUGGGGGUUGGAAAGUUUCGGCGGUUGGGGAUGGACUCGCGGCUUAUCAGCUUGUUGGUGGGGUAGUGGCUUACCCAGGCUUUGACGGGUAGCCGGCCUGAGAGGGUGACCGGCCACAUUGGGACUGAGAGACGGCCCAGACGCCUACGGGAGGCAGCAGUGGGGAAUAUUGCACAAGGGGUGGAAGCCGGAUGCAGCAACGCCGUGGGCGGGAUGACGGCCUUCGGGUUGGAAACCGCUUUCGCUCAUGACGAAGCUUUGUGUGACGGUAGUGGGUAAAGAAGCACCGGCUAACUACGUG
rnacentral:rRNA from 1 species